AUGGGCUUCUGUCGUUGUCAGAGCAGGUGGACAUAGUGAGCAAUUUGUGGGAGCAUCCGAAGGAGAUGAAGGGUGCUGAACAGCCAGAAUCGAGUCGGAAGAAGGCGAUGCAGGGACGCACUGUCUGAAUUUCAUCGAAGCCAUUGUCGAUAGAGGUAAGUGAACAGUCAUGGUGGUUCCCAGAGAUUAUCGAGGUCUUGGCGGAGAGCCUCAAUGAG
rnacentral:lncRNA from 1 species